rnacentral:rRNA from 1 species
UAGCGGCAGCACGGAUGUAGCAAUACAUCUUCGCGGCGAGCGGCGGACGGGUGAGGAAUGCGUCGGAAUCUGCCUCUUUGUGGGGGAUAACGUAGGGAAACUUACGCUAAUACCGCAUACGACCUACGGGUGAAAGUGGGGGACCGCAAGGCCUCACGCAGAGAGAUGAGCCGACGCCGGAUUAGCUAGUUGGCGGGGUAAAGGCCCACCAAGGCGACGAUCCGUAGCUGGUCUGAGAGGAUGAUCAGCCACACUGGAACUGAGACACGGUCCAGACUCCUACGGGAGGCAGCAGUGGGGAAUAUUGGACAAUGGGCGCAAGCCUGAUCCAGCCAUGCCGCGUGUGUGAAGAAGGCCUUCGGGUUGUAAAGCACUUUUGUCCGGAAAGAAAAGCAUUCGGUUAAUAACCGGGUGUGAUGACGGUACCGGAAAGAAUAAACACCGGCUAACUUCGUGCCAACAGCCGCGGUAAUACGGAAGGGUGCAAGCGUUACUCGGAAUUACUGGGCCGUUAAAGCGUGCGUAGGUGGUUCGUUAAUUCUGAUGUUGAAAGCCCCUGGG